rnacentral:rRNA from 1 species
GAUGAACGCUGGCGGCGUGCCUAAUACAUGCAAGUCGAGCGAACAGACGAGGAGCUUGCUUCUCUGAUGUUAGCGGCGGACGUGUGAGUAACACGUGUAUAACCUACCUAUCAGACUGGGAUAAAUUCGGGAAACCGGAUCUAAUACCGGAUAAUAUAUUGAACCCCAGGGUUCAAUAGUGAGAGACGGUCUUGCUGUCACGUAUAGAUGGAUCCGCGCUGCAUGAUCUAGUUGUUAAGGUAACGGCUUACCAAGGCAACGAUGCGUAGCCGACGUGAGAGAGUGGUCGCCUACAUUGGAAGUGAGACACCGACCAGACGCCUACGGGAGGCAGCAGUAGCGAAUGUUCCGCAGUAGUCGAAAGCUUGACAGAGCAACCCCAAGUCAGUUAGGGAGGUGUUCGGUUCGUAAAAAUCGGUUAUUAGUGAAGAACAGAUGUCUAAGUUGCUGUAGCCGUCUUGACGGUAACGGAUAAGAAAGCCCCGGCUAACUACGUG